rnacentral:pre_miRNA from 1 species
CAAGUACUCCCUCCGUCCGGAAUUACUUGUCAUCAAAAUGGAUGUGUCUAGAACUAAAAUACUUCUAGAUACAUCCAUUUCAAUGACAAGUAUUUUCGGACGGAGGGAGUACAAG